GGGAACGCGAAGAACCUUACCCAGGCUUGACAUGCAGAUGAUCGUUACAGAAAUGUAAUUUCCCUUCGGGGCAUCUGCACAGGUGCUGCAUGGCUGUCGUCAGCUCGUGCCNUGAGGUGUUUGGUUAAGUCCAGCAACGAGCGCAACCCUUAUCAUUAGUUGCCAACACUUAGGGUGGGAACUCUAAUGAGACUGCCUGGGUUAACCAGGAGGAAGGUGAGGAUGACGUCAAGUCCGCAUGGCCCUUAUGUCUGGGGCUACACACGUGCUACAAUGGUCGGUACAGAAGGCAGCGAAACCGCGAGGCGGAGCAAAUCCCGAAAGCCGAUCCCAGUUCAGAUUGUAGUCUGCAACUCCACCUACAUGAAAGACGGAAUUGCUAGUAAUGGUGGGUCAGCAACACCACCACCGUGAAUACGUUCCCGGGUCUUGUCACACC
rnacentral:rRNA from 1 species